rnacentral:misc_RNA from 1 species
CCCUCCAGCCGGGCACUGCUUCACGGCGUGCGCGGCUGGAGCCGGCCCUGCUGAAUUAUUCACCCGUGUCUUUUGCGUACUUCUUGUUUCCUGGGUGGGCUCGCCCGCCAUCAGGACCAACCAUAAACCUUUUUGUAAUAGCAAUCAGCGUCAGUAACAACGUAAUUAAUUACAACUUUCAACAACGGAUCUCUUGGUUCUGGCAUCGAUGAAGAACGCAGCGAAAUGCGAUACGUAGUGUGAAUUGCAGAAUUCAGUGAAUCAUCGAAUCUUUGAACGCACAUUGCGCCCUUUGGUAUUCCAAAGGGCAUGCCUGUUCGAGCGUCAUUUGUACCCUCAAGCUUUGCUUGGUGUUGGGCGUCUUUUGUCUCCAGCUCGCUGGAGACUCGCCUUAAAGUCAUUGGCAGCCGGCCUACUGGUUUCGGAGCGCAGCACAAGUCGCGCUCUUGCCCAGCCAAGGUCAGCGUCCAGCAAGCCUUUUUUCAACCUUUGACCUCGGAUCAGGUAGGGAUACCCGCUGAACUUAAGCAUAUCAAUAA